rnacentral:rRNA from 1 species
UAAGGCUGAGACACGACGUCGAGCUGCUACGGCAGUGAAGUCAUUGAUGCCAUGCUUCCAGGAAAAGCCUCUAAGCUUCAGAUAGUCAGGAAUCGUACCCCAAACCGACACAGGUGGUCGGGUAGAGAAUACCAAGGCGCUUGAGAGAACUCGGGUGAAGGAACUAGGCAAAAUGGUACCGUAACUUCGGGAGAAGGUACGCUCUUGAUGGUGAAGUCCCUUGCGGAUGGAGCUGACGAGAGUCGCAGAUACCAGGUGGCUGCAACUGUUUAUUAAAAACACAGCACUGUGCAAAAUCGCAAGAUGACGUAUACGGUGUGACGCCUGCCCGGUGCCGGAAGGUUAAUUGAUGGGGUUAGCGCAAGCGAAGCUCUUGAUCGAAGCCCCGGUAAACGGCGGCCGUAACUAUAACGGUCCUAAGGUAGCGAAAUUCCUUGUCGGGUAAGUUCCGACCUGCACGAAUGGCGUAAUGAUGGCCACGCUGUCUCCACCCGAGACUCAGUGAAAUUGAAAUCGCUGUGAAGAUGCAGUGUACCCGCGGCUAGACGGAAAGACCCCGUGAACCUUUACUACAGCUUGGCACUGAACAUUGAACCUACAUGUGUAGGAUAGGUGGGAGGCUAUGAAGACGUGACGCCAGUUGCGUUGGAGCCGUCCUUGAAAUACCACCCUUGUAUGUUUGAUGUUCUAACUUAGCCCCAUUAUCUGGGGUGAGGACAGUGCCUGGUGGGUAGUUUGACUGGGGCGGUCUCCUCCCAAAGAGUAACGGAGGAGCACGAAGGUGGGCUAAUCACGGUUGGACAUCGUGAGGUUAGUGCAAUGGCAUAAGCCCGCUUAACUGCGAGAAUGACGGUUCGAGCAGGUGCGAAAGCAGGUCAUAGUGAUCCGGUGGUUCUGUAUGGAAGGGCCAUCGCUCAACGGAUAAAAGGUACUCCGGGGAUAACAGGCUGAUACCGCCCAAGAGUUCAUAUCGACGGCGGUGUUUGGCACCUCGAUGUCGGCUCAUCACAUCCUGGGGCUGAAGUCGGUCCCAAGGGUAUGGCUGUUCGCCAUUUAAAGUGGUACGCGAGCUGGGUUUAGAACGUCGUGAGACAGUUCGGUCCCUAUCUGCCGUGGGCGUUGGAAGAUUGAAGGGGGCUGCUCCUAGUACGAGAGGACCGGAGUGGACGAACCUCUGGUGUUCGGGUUGUGUCGCCAGACGCAUUGCCCGGUAGCUAAGUUCGGAAUUGAUAAGCGCUGAAAGCAUCUAAGCGCGAAGCGAGCCCUGAGAUGAGUCUUCCCUGA